rnacentral:tRNA from 1 species
GGGUCGAUGCUCGAGUGGCUAAUGGGGACGGAUUGUAAAUCCGUUGGCAAUGCCUACGCUGGUUCGAAUCCAGCUCGACCUA